rnacentral:rRNA from 1 species
UGGGGAAUAUUGCACAAUGGGGGAAACCCUGAUGCAGCGACGCCGCGUGAACGAAGAAGGUAUUCGUAUCGUAAAGUUCUGUCCUAUGGGAAGAUAAUGACAGUACCAUAGAAGAAAGCUCCGGCUAAAUACGUGCCAGCAGCCGCGGUAAUACGUAUGGAGCGAGCGUUGUCCGGAAUUAUUGGGCGUAAAGGGUACGCAGGCGGUUUUAUAAGUCGAAUGUUAAAGAUCGGGGCUCAACCCCGCAAAGCAUUGGAAACUGAUAAACUUGAGUAGUGGAGAGGAAAGUGGAAUUCCUAGUGUAGUGGUGAAAUACGUAGAUAUUAGGAGGAAUACCAGUAGCGAAGGCGACUUUCUGGACACAAACUGACGCUGAGGUACGAAAGCGUGGGGAGCAAACAGG